UACAGAGGUCUCAAGCGUUUGUUCGGAUUCAUUGGGCGUAAAGGGUGCGUAGGCGGCGCGGUAAGUCGGGUGUGAAAUCUUGGAGCUUAACUCCGAAACUGCAUUCGAUACUGCCGUGCUUGAGGACUGGAGAGGAGACUGGAAUUUACGGUGUAGCGGUGAAAUGCGUAGAUAUCGUAAGGAAGACCAGUGGCGAAGGCGGGUCUCUGGACAGUUCCUGACGCUGAGGCAUGAAGGCCAGGGGAGCAAACGGG
rnacentral:rRNA from 1 species